rnacentral:rRNA from 1 species
UGGCCCUUGGGUGAGUAACACGUGGGUAACCUGCCCUUAAGCGGGGGAUAACAUCCGGAAACGGGUGCUAAUACCGCAUAGUUUCCCUCUCCACAUGGAGGGGGAAGGAAAGACGGCCUUUGUGCUGUCGCUUAGGGAUGGACCCGCGGCGUAUUAGUUAGUUGGUAGGGUAACGGCCUACCAAGGCGAUGAUACGUAGCCGACCUGAGAGGGUGAUCGGCCACAUUGGGACUGAGACACGGCCCAAACUCCUACGGGAGGCAGCAGUAGGGAAUCUUCCGCAAUGGACGAAAGUCUGACGGAGCAACGCCGCGUGAGUGAAGAAGGUUUUCGGAUCGUAAAACUCUGUUGUCGGAGAAGAACAAGCAGGAAAGGAACUGUUCCUGCCUUGACGGUACCCGACCAGAAAGCCACGGCUAACUACGUGCCAGCAGCCGCGGUAAUACGUAGGUGGCAAGCGUUGUCCGGAUUUAUUGGGCGUA